rnacentral:rRNA from 1 species
GUGCAGCAGCCGCGGUAAUACGGAAGGUCCGGGCGUUAUCCGGAUUUAUUGGGUUUAAAGGGAGCGCAGCCGGCUUUUAAGCGUGACGUGAAAUGUGGAUGCUCAACAUCUGAACUGCGUCGCGAACUGGAGGCCUUGAGUGCAUUCGACGUCGGCGGAAUUCGUGGUGUAGCGGUGAAAUGCUUAGAUAUCACGAAGAACUCCGAUUGCGCAGGCAGCUGACGAGACUGUAACUGACGCUAAAGCUCGAAAGUGCGGGUAUCGAACAGGAUUAGAUACCCUGGUAGUCCGCACGGUAAACGAUGGAUGCCCGCUGUUUGCGAUAUAUUGUAAGCGGCCAAGCGAAAGCGUUAAGCAUCCCACCUGGGGAGUACGCCGGCAACGGUGAAACUCAAAGGAAUUGACGGGGGCCCGCACAAGCGGAGGAACAUGUGGUUUAAUUCGAUGAUACGCGAGGAACCUUACCCGGGCUUGAACUGCCAGCGAACGAUACAGAGAUGUUGAGGCCCUUCGGGGCGCUGGUGGAGGUGCUGCAUGGUUGUCGUCAGCUCGUGCCGUGAGGUGUCGGCUUAAGUGCCAUAACGAGCGCAACCCCUUUCGUCAGUUGCCAUCAGGUUAUGCUGGGCACUCUGGCGACACUGCCACCGUAAGGUGUGAGGAAGGUGGGGAUGACGUCAAAUCAGCACGGCCCUUACGUCCGGGGCUACACACGUGUUACAAUGGGUGGUACAGAGAGUCGGUCGCAGGCAAUUGCGGUCUAAUCAUGAAAGCCAUCCUCAGUUCGGAUUGGGUCUGCAACCCGACCCCAUGAAGCUGGAUUCGCUAGUAAUCGCGCAUCAGCCAUGGCGCGGUGAAUACGUUCCCGGGCCUUGUACACACCGCCCGU